ACUGGGUGCAGUGGUGCACACCUGUAAUCCCAGUGCUUCUGGAGGCUGAGGCAGGAGGAUAGUGAGUUCAAAGCCAGCUUCAGCAACUUAGGAAGAACCUGUCUCUU
rnacentral:sRNA from 1 species